rnacentral:rRNA from 1 species
UACGUAGGCAGCAAGCGUUGUUCGGAGUUACUGGGCGUAAAGAGUGCGUAGGCGGUUUCGUACGUUUGGUGUGAAAUCUCCCGGCUUAACUGGGAGGGUGCGCCGAAAACUGCGGGGCUGGAGUGUGGGAGAGGUAAGCGGAAUUCCUGGUGUAGCGGUGAAAUGCGUAGAUAUCAGGAGGAACACCGGCGGUGUAGACGGCUUACUGGACCAUGACUGACGCUGAGGCACGAAAGCGUGGGGAGCAAACAGG